rnacentral:rRNA from 1 species
GUGAGGAAUAUUGGUCAAUGGACGAGAGUCUGAACCAGCCAAGUCGCGUGAAGGAAGACGGUUCUAUGAAUUGUAAACUUCUUUUGUGCAGGAAUAAAGUGGGUUACGUGUAACCUUUUGUAUGUACUGUACGAAUAAGGAUCGGCUAACUCCGUGCCAGCAGCCGCGGUAAUACGGAGGAUCCGAGAGUUAUCCGGAUUUAUUGGGUUUAAAGGGUGCGUAGGUGGAUUGAUAAGUCAGCGGUGAAAGUUUGCAGCUUAACUGUAAAAUUGCCGUUGAAGCUGUCGGUCUUGAGUGCAAAUGAGGUAGGCGGAAUGUGUUGUGUAGCGGUGAAAUGCUUAGAUAUAACACAGAACUCCGAUUGCGAAGGCAGCUUACUGGGAUGCAACUGACACUGAUGCACGAAAGCGUGGGUAUCAAACAGGAUUAGAAACCCCGGUAGUCC